GGUAUGCAGUUUCUUCUCAACACUCACCCCACUACCUCAGUGCCUCUGAGCCCUCCGGGCCCACAAAGAGAUUUCAGCAUAGCUCAGAUAGCAGCAGUACAAGAUCUAGGAAUCUUGUCAGUUUCUUCAGGCAGGAAUCUGGGGCACAUGGAUGGGUAGGAAUUCUAAGGGGAUCUGCCUGAGGAAGAUGAAACGUUCAAAUCGGGCUCCAUUUAGUAUGCACACAUUUAUCCAGGAUCUGGGAUUUAAUGUUAGCUCAAGCAUCUAAAAGGGGUUUUAAAACAAUGUGCUACACUAUGUAUUGAAGCCCGAAAUCAAUAGCACCCAACAGGCAUUAAGAGUUAAGAGGCAGAACAUCUCUGACCAUGUUGAGGAAGAACCCCAAAGCUCAUGAAGAUAGAAAUAUUGUGUGUCCUGACUUGUACUUGUUGUUCCAGUCUAAUUAUUAGUAGUGCCCCCUUGAAGUUCUCUCUAAAGUGUCCCAGUUUGGGAUGCUGUGCCACCUGUCUGCCUCAGCCACCCCUUACCCAUGCCACCUCAGAAGCACCAAAGAACACUCCCUUCACCAGGGCUAUAAGAAAGGCGUCAGUGGGGGUAGUACGUGUUUCCCCGUAAAGCCCUGUGGUAACUGUCCUCUGGAGCUUAGUCGUGACAGUGGGGAGUACAGAGAUUGAACGUUGAAUUAGAUUCCCUGAUAUCAGUGGGAAUAAUGAGAGUCAGGCUGAAAGUGGCAAAGGCCAAUGAUAGCCCUUAACCAUGAAAAGACACUUUUUGGUAUUUUUUUCGGUAGUGCUUGAAAUUUAUUGAAAAGAAUGCAAAUGCUUUUUCCAGGUAGCAUUGAGGAGCUGGGCUGAGUACCUGCUUUUGUUUGUAUUGUUCGGUUUUUAGUAUUUUUGUCCAAAUGCACACCUCGAUGGGACUGCUGCAAUUUUGAAACAAAGAUGACAGGUGUGCAAAACUGGUGCAUAGGAGAAAUGUCAACAAUUGGGUUGCCAGGCACAAUGGGCCCCUGCAGCAAUCUCGUGGGGCACGAGGAAGACUCAGAGUUAGUACAGAACAAUUAAUCAAGUUGAAAGAUUAGCCCCUGGGGAGGGGGGUGGAGUUGUUGGUGAGCAGUCCAAAUCAGUGUCCCAGGAGGUGUAGCCCACAAAGGCAUAUUCUAGGUUGCUCCUGAUCUCCAAAGGCCGGGUCUGUCGCUGGAAUCUGAUGGAGCGUGCUUGGGUGGCAGCGCAGGUCGCUGGGCAGAGGUGCAGGCCUGACAGUCGGCAGGGCAGAGUAUAGGCUGACCGGUUUGUAAGAGGAGCUUGCCCUAGAGCUGGGGCUCAGAACACAGUUCUAAUGAGCGGUGAGGGUCCUGGGGCUGGCCAGAGUGGGCAGCAGAGCGCACUUCAGAGACGCCCCAGCCUCAGCAGCAGGUGACUGGAGAGCACUAUGCCUGGAACAAAGACAAGCACUACGGCAGAGGGUGGAGGGUGAGGAAGACAACCAGAGGGGAGGGAAAGGCCAGGGGAUCACAGCGUUAGGGGAGCGCGGCGGCUCCGGGCGGGGCGAGGCGGGGAGGCAGGGGGGUGGCGGCGGGCAGUGCCCUUCCCCCUCCUAGGCCCGAGGGUCUCCGGGCCUAAUAAUCAUCUUCUUCAUAUUCGUCUUCGUCUUCUUCGUCGUCAUCCCAGCCAAAACACUGUUUCAUCUCAUCGAGGAAGGCCCGGUAAUCGCCCAGGAUGGGGCUAUCCAUCUCAAUGUAGGGCACCACCCACUCCUCGGCUUCCCCGGUGAGCAGGCUGAUCAGGAAUGCCACCUUCAUGGCGUCGUUGCAGAAUCGGUUCUCGUUGACGAGCAUGUAAGACGCCGUCUGCACGAUAAACUCGGGGAGCCGAGAGCUCUCGCCGUCAAACGUUUCAGGGAAGGGCACAGGGCAGCUCGGCGGACGUACCUGGCGCAGCAGGGUGGCCCUCUCGCACACCAGCAGCCGAAGCUGUUCCAUGAGCUGGCUGUUCUCGAUGCUAAGGGCGCGGUGCCGCAUCAGAAGCGCGUGCAGCAGCAGGACCAGCUCAUCCACCAUGGCGAACAGCUUGGAAAGGCAAGGCAGGGCACAGCUCGAUUCGGCCGGGAUAAGGUGCGCUCGGAGGCCUCGCAGGAAGUGCGUGUCGGCGGAGACGCGCGGUGGCUAGGGGCGAGGGGCGGUGCG
ensembl:lncRNA